rnacentral:rRNA from 1 species
GAACGCUGGCGGCAUGCCUUACACAUGCAAGUCGAACGGUAACAGGUCUUCGGACGCUGACGAGUGGCGAACGGGUGAGUAAUACAUCGGAACGUGCCCAGUCGUGGGGGAUAACUACUCGAAAGAGUAGCUAAUACCGCAUACGAUCUGAGGAUGAAAGCGGGGGACCUUCGGGCCUCGCGCGAUUGGAGCGGCCGAUGGCAGAUUAGGUAGUUGGUGGGAUAAAAGCUUACCAAGCCGACGAUCUGUAGCUGGUCUGAGAGGACGACCAGCCACACUGGGACUGAGACACGGCCCAGACUCCUACGGGAGGCAGCAGUGGGGAAUUUUGGACAAUGGGCGAAAGCCUGAUCCAGCAAUGCCGCGUGCAGGAUGAAGGCCUUCGGGUUGUAAACUGCUUUUGUACGGAACGAAAAAGCUUCUCCUAAUACGAGAGGCCCAUGACGGUACCGUAAGAAUAAGCACCGGCUAACUACGUGCCAGCAGCCGCGGUAAUACGUAGGGUGCGAGCGUUAAUCGGAAUUACUGGGCGUAAAGCGUGCGCAGGCGGUUAUGUAAGACAGAUGUGAAAUCCCCGGGCUCAACCUGGGAACUGCAUUUGUGACUGCAUGGCUAGAGUACGGUAGAGGGGGAUGGAAUUCCGCGUGUAGCAGUGAAAUGCGUAGAUAUGCGGGGGAACACCGAUGGCGAAGGCAAUCCCCUGGACCUGUACUGACGCUCAUGCACGAAAGCGU